ensembl:lncRNA
UUUGGCUUUUCCUGCUUUGGUGUUAUGAUUACAAAUUGCGACCUCGUGUCGCAAUACAAUACUGCAAUAAAAUAUAAUACUGCAAAUUAUAUUAUAUUUCCACAAAUAUAGGCAGGAGCGAUGUAAUGACUUACAGAUUCCCAUAUGGUCUAGCGGUUAGGAUUCCUGGUUUUCACCCAGGCGGCCCGGGUUCGACUCCCGGUAUGGGAAAGCUCAGGCUCUCGAGCGUUUCUUGCUGAGUGAAUGCUGCCCAGUGGGUUCAGAGGGAAAGUGUGAGUCCUCGGAAUUCCCCCACGGUCCUCGUUCAGGAAAACAGUGGAACCUUAAGGCAGGCACGAGUGCACAGAGAAAUAAACUGCGUGACACGACCUACAGCAAAGAGAACCAGCAGCCUAACAGAAGAGUGUCUUUUCCUGACAACCGGACAACGAAGAUAGCACACAGCGCAGCAUGUCUGUAUUUUUUGGAGCCGCUUCAUUAAAGUGGAUAUUGUAUCUAUCAUUGCUAGCACGAGAGGCUUGAAACAGUCAACUUUACAAGAUCGUACAUCAAAUGGUAAGUAUGUUUUUUCCUUAACAUAACAUCGUAAAGUUUAUGUAAAAGAUAGAAUAUUAAUAAAACUGCUGUAGACAUUUCCUUUUGAAGCUCUGUUGUUACAACGUAUGGUAACAUUUAAUGUAACAUAAACAUACCCAACAGCCACCAACUGGGCUACUGCAUUGCAACUGAUUUAUAGUUCGGUUUUCUAACCCCCCCCCCGUCAAACGGUCCUCGAAUUUGUGUCAUACUACCACAUUGAAAUAAAGCACAAGAUUUACUACCGCAGUUUUCUCCCCAUCAGAGUAGUUCACGGACACUGAGCUACCAGCGUGUUUGAAGAUGCCCUGUCAGUCCUCAGAGCCAGGGCUUCUCUAACUUUUUGCAGGCAGGGACCCCGUUAAUUUUAAAAUAAAUUACACGGUCCCCUCCAAACAAGUUGACAUUAUUUAUAGGCUGACUUGUUUUGAGUUAUGGAGGUCUGGCUUAAACCCAGCCAAGUGGCCAGAAAAUAGGCUGUUAACUAUAAGCUGAAUCAUAAUUAUCAUAUAUAUAUAUAUAUAUAUAUAUAUAUAUAUAUAUAUAUAUAUAUGUAUGUAUAUAUGUAUGUAUGUAUGUAUGUAUGUAUGUGUGUGUGUGUGUGUGUGUGUGUGUGUGUGUGUGUGAGAGAGAGAGAGAGAGAGAGAGAGAGCGAGAACUAUGUUCAAUAUAAUUUAAGGUUAAUAUGUUUUAAUAUAAUUUCAGUUCUUAUACUUUGUUGCUGAGUUUCCUUACAUCUGUUAAUGGCCCAGAUGUUUGUUUAAAUGUUUAGAUUUUCAGCCUAAGACACAAAAGUUGAAAUAUCCCAUUUUUCUAAGGCCUUUUUGAGGAGGAGAAAUUUAAAUGUUGUUGUCUUACUUUGGGAGUUUUUGGUAUGACUCAGAACAGCCUGUCUGUCCAGAAAGGACGUUAUCCAGUUUUCAUGGCCCCACCUUUUCAAUGUCCCCACAUCCCAGUGGCCAGAAAGCUGGAAAUUUCAGUCUUCUGAAACCAAUUAGACUCAGUAAGGAGCUCUAAAUAUACCAACAACAGUGUAGUUGCUCUCUAACCCAAUGCAAGCUGGGUUUUGUUCCUGGAAAAAAGUGCCUUCAGUGCAUUAGUCCUCUUGAUUUUUUGUACACUUACAUUUUUUUUUAUACAAUGGAGCAGUUGAGGGGUAAGGGCCUUGCUCAAGGGCCCAGCAGUGGCAGCUUGGUGGUGCUGGGAUAUGAACUCACAAUCUUCCAAUCAGUAGUCCAAUGUCUUAUUAGAUCCAACACAGGAUUUUAUGUUGCUGGAUGACAACAGUAGGUAUGUGGGCCACAUUUAUGAACAGGGAAACUGGAAUUUUCUUAUUCCCAUUCUAGUAACUAUGACCAUCAAGUCAUCUUCAGCUGAAUACAAACUGAGGAAUAAAGGAGUGUCAGAAGACAGUAGAAGGCCCUGACUCAUGCCCUGACUCGAGCACUCUAUUCGAGUGCUCAUGGACUGAUGGUUUGGAAAUCAUAUAAGAUGUGAUCUAAUGGGGUGGUUAUUGAUUUGUCUGCUCAUUUGGAGACAUUUUUCUUUGUACAAAACUGCAUCAGCAGGGCACUAUGGGCUCAGACCAAAACAGAAACAAUGAGAUGAAUCAUACUCACAGACCAAGAUCACUUAGAUAUCUAGAGCUAGCACAUAUUUUGGGGUGGGGAGGUAUCAUGGUCUCAUUCCUGAGACUAUUUUUUAAAGGUUGCCUACUUGUUUGAUAUAUAUGUUUAAUCAACAAAUAAUAAAAUGUGGACAAAAUAAAAAGGCCUCAUUCCCUUGAUAUUUCAGUUAACUGAGGUAGACCAAACAAAUUAAGAUUAUGUCUUCCACAAGGUGGCAUUGUUCAUAUAUAAGCACAUGGUUUGUCACAUGAGCAAAUUUAAGAGCACAUGACAUUAUUUGUUAUGAAGAGACACACUGAGGCUUAACUACAAUUGACAAAUACAUUUUCCUAUUUUAUAAUUUGUCUCAACAUGUGCUUUUGCUUAACUUUCAAAAUAGAAGUGAACCUGGACAAAGAAAUAAGGACACUGUCACUGGUACAUGUUAUUACAUUUCUGUUGAAGAAAAGAUUAAAGAGAGAACAUGUAUUAACACAUAGACAUGUACAAGUAUGUGUGAUUCUGUGGGCUGAUUCCAGUAUUUUGUCACACUUCAUUAACAUGAGCAAAAAGUAAUAUAACAAAGGAACACCACAAGCAAUGAGUUAUAUUUUGACCUUAAAUCAGGUUAGUUUUAUUUUAACACAAUGUUAUCCAUAAUAUAUAUAAAAAUUGUAAUAAAACAUAAAAAAUAGAGCAUUUUUUUCUGCAAAGCAAUGAUUUUAACAAUUAAUGUGUGGUGAAGCUGAGCUUCUUCCUGUAAUGUCUAAUAAAGUUGUAGAUCACUUAUAGAGGAACAUUUCACACACCUUUAUAUUCUAAUGUGCAUGUGGACCACACAUAUUCAAAAGGGUUCAAAUCCAGAGACUGAGACUGCCAUUGCAUGAUUCCAUGUAGUCCUGUUUUUCAUGAAAAGUGUUAAAGGUGUGCAUGGUGAAAGGUUCCAUUUGCUGUAAUUUGACCACAAUACAAAUUAGCACAAUGGCUCAGUUGGUGUAUUGGUGUAGUCCUUUCCAUUUUGCUAUAUCUGUAAUUUGUCUCCACAUUUUAGCCUUUGCAGAUGCUGCCACAUUGCCGAAU